AGAGUAAAGCUGUUUCAUUUUUAUUAACCGAAAAUUAACCUUCAGAUGAAGAGAUCUGAAUAGAAAAGAAAGACAAAAAGACCCUAUUGAGCUUUACCCUACCAGAAUUCCCCCAAAGUGAAUCUAUUUAAUAAAUUCUGAGCGGGUUUUGUUGGGGCGACAGAAGAAGAACUAAAUCUUCUUUAUUUAAUGAGGUAAUAAACCUAAUAAUGAUCCGGAACCCCCGAUUAAAAGAUUCAGCUACCAUAGGGAUAACAGGCUAAUUCUUUCCGAGAG
rnacentral:rRNA from 1 species